AACGAACGCUGGCGGCAUGCCUAACACAUGCAAGUCGAACGAGACCUUCGGGUCUAGUGGCGCACGGGUGCGUAACGCGUGGGAACCUUCCCUUAGGCUCGGAAUAACUCCCCGAAAGGGGUGCUAAUACCGGAUAAUGUCUUCGGACCAAAGAUUUAUCGCCCUUGGAUGGGCCCGCGUUGGAUUAGCUAGUUGGUAGGGUAAAAGCCUACCAAGGCGACGAUCCAUAGCUGGUCUGAGAGGAUGAUCAGCCACACUGGGACUGAGACACGGCCCAGACUCCUACGGGAGGCAGCAGUGGGGAAUAUUGGACAAUGGGCGAAAGCCUGAUCCAGCAAUGCCGCGUGAGUGAUGAAGGCCUUAGGGUUGUAAAGCUCUUUUAACCGGGAUGAUAAUGACAGUACCGGGAGAAUAAGCUCCGGCUAACUCCGUG
rnacentral:rRNA from 1 species